GGUAGAGUCCACUGGCACGCACAAGUGCAUCCAAGGAGGCAGCCCCAAAGUCUCUUCUGAGCUGACGGGAACAGGAACCAUGGCUGUCAAGCAGAACAUCUCAGGGUUGGAGGCAAGAGGCAUUUCAGAAGUACCAAGGUAGAAAUGGCUGGUUGAGACACUUCCAUCUUCCCAAAUGGAGUUAUAUCAGGCUGCGAUCACUGAUCCCUCAGAAACCACCAAAUUCCAUUUCUCAUGUCGGUUUUGUUUGCUUUGGGAAAAUUGCAAAACAGCUGAUCUGAAACCCAUGAAAGUCAAGAGGAGUCUUUGAACAGCCUUUGAUGAGUUUUGGAUUAAUCCUGAAGUGAGAAAUAAUGAUAGACUGGUAGACUGAGCUUUGGCAUUAAUUCCUUUUGGUUGAAAUGGCUGAUUGACUCUUACUGUAGCACGUCUGCUGCCUCUCUUAAGUUCUAACUUAACUCUUCAGAAUUCAAUAGCAACUCCUGGAAGGCGCAGAGAUGAAGAUAACAAACCAUUCAUCAUUCUUUAUUGGAAUGUGAGACCUUCACACGGGGCUCGCAGAUGUGACACAAUGGGAUGAACUUCAUUCGUGAUGUGUAGAAAUUACUAAAGCAACAGCAGCUCCUGUGUCAGGACAGAAACUUGAAGCUAAAGUUCUUAUUCCAACUUUACUCAUAUAAGAAAGGGCCUCUAUGAGACUUCUGCCUGCUUGUAAUCAUCAGGAGUUGACCUCCAGGCAUUAAAAGGAGUGUUAAAAAUGGGUGUGUCAACACAUCAAAACAUGUCUCUGUUUCAUGGACACAACAGCUGCUAGAAGAUAUUGAGAAAUGAAAUGUUGAACCGGGAAAACAUUAUUUACAUUUAGCAAGGUGUAGCAAUAUUGCAACAUACCUUAGAGAAGAAUAAGACAAGAACAUCAAUGGACAGAUACUUGAACCUAUAUGGACCAAAACUCAUUAAGGUCAGAACCAGUGAUUUUUUUUUUUUUCCCUUAAAAAAACAGUGGAAAUAGCAAGUUUAUUUCAAAACAGCUUAUACUCUUUGUGUUUCUAGUAACUUUAAUAUCCACUAGGAUCCAUUAUUCCAGAGCGUAAGAGCUGCAAAGGGAACUUGACUAAAAGGAAGAGCUGUUUCCAUUGUUAUCUUUGGGAAACAUCAGAGAUACCAGAAAAAAAUGCUGAAGAUUAUUUUUUAAAUAACUGUAUAAUUGAAUGAAAAUUGGAAAUUUUCUCAUAGAAAAAGGUAUUUAAAAGGCAGAAUUUUACCAUUCAAAGUCUUAAUCAUCUUAUUCUACCUCCUCCUCCUUUUAAAAUUAUUUCUGUUUUUAUUUCCAAAGGGAAGGAAAUCAUCAUACAUCUAUUUGUGUAUUUGUAGACAGUCAAUACAGAUAUAUGUAUUUACAGAUAGAGAAGCACGUGUCUGUGAGUGGGCCAGCAUACGUAUUUAGACACACAGAAAUAUAUAUCUAUAUACAUGUAUGCUCUUCCAUGUAUAUGCCUGUGUAUGUGUAGAGUUUUAAUCGGAUGAACUCCAGGCAUGUUCUCUUGCCACCUGAUAUGGACCAAUAUGUAAUACAUAAUGUAAGACUAGGCACACAAUAAGGAGAAGGGUAAUUCAGUGUAAUAUUACUUGGCUAAAUAUGGCAUAUUAUAUAUACAAUAAAUGCAUUUUUUGAAUUAAGGCGUAUAUAUAUUUUUAUCAAGGAACUUUGUACGUAGAAGUAAAUAUAUGUAGACAUCUAUCUGGAAAUACCUCUCUGCAUCUGACUGUUUAAGUGCAUAGGCAUUAUUUUGCACGUCCAUGUUUAUCAGAUGUGCUUGCAUGUACAUUUGUAUGUAUGAUAAGAUAACCCUGCUUGGAUACAAGUCUUUGUGCAUGACCUCCAAGACGGGACCAAAUCCCCGCUUCGCUAUCCAGGCUGACACAUAAGCCAAAACCCCAUGCUUCAGAUACAGAUAAGCCUUUCUGGAAGGACUGAGAAAGGCACUUAAGUAGUGCAGUGAACCAGAUCAGGCCUUUUUAAGAGGAAAACAUUGCAUUAUUUAGCAGGCCUUGGAACUGUAAGAACGGUCAGGCUUUGUUGUUGAAAGCCAGUGGGAAAUAACUAACGCUCCAAAGUGCAACUUGCGCUGGUUGCAGAAGCCACUCCUUUCCUAUGUCUCUUUAUCUCCUUGAGGAGAACUGAACACACACACACACACACACACACACAUACACACACUCACGCACGCACGCACACGCGCCCCAUCUGCUUCAACUCUGCAGAGUUGGCACAGCUGCACCCUUAUCUUCUGUAUCAGCAUCCCAGACCUUUUACUGCUGACAAAAGAGAAAUAUUUACGCAAGGAGGCUGUGGGAACGCAGCAUUCUUGCUGGCACGUUCUCUCAUGCCUUGUUUGGAGUCACAAAUAAAUAACGGCAUGGAUGGCUUAUCUGUAUCAUUUAGGCAAUGGCUAAAAACAUGAAGCUCUCUUGAUGGAAAGGUCAGACCCUGGGCUGCUAUUCAUAGCUGACAUGGUGAAGUGGAGAGUUUAAUCCAAUAAACUUGUUAUAUUUCCAGGCCCCCACCCCCAGCUGUGAGUGCUGGUGCUGGGCGGAUUACUCAAAGUGAAUGUGUUGCUUAGCAGCUGGCAUUAAUUGGUAUAGCUGCCUUAAUGGCAGCUAUAUUUACGUUAUUUCAGAUCAGCGGAGAUUGCUGCCUGGUUAAGACAGAUUUUGUAUUUCUUCUCAGUCUGACUUUGUAGCCCUUAGGGCUUUUAUGUAAAUGAUCACUUAAAGGUGCUUAAGGAGACCUGAUCAUUAAAAAGUUCUGAAAAUUCAUCUUUGAAAAGUUGAAACCCUUUCAAGUGUCUGUAGUCUGAAUGCCAAAAAGAAAGAAUAAGCAAUCAUUUUGGAAAAUGUGUCUGAGGCCUUUUCUCCCUAUCCUAUCAAUGGAGGGUUGUGGUUUCUGGAAAUCUAUUUUUUAUGCAAAGUUUACUCUGUAGAGUCAUUGCUGUCUCUUGAAACUUGACUGCUGCUACUGCUGCAGUUGUUAAAUAAAUCAUGAAACGUUAUUCUUGUUGUCUUUAUUGCAUGCGCUUAUGAAUUUGGCCCCGGUGAACACUAUGGGAUGCCUGGAGUCUUGGAAAAAUUGAGGACUCUGGCGUCCAUGGAGGGGGAAUCACAUGAGCAGUCACUCCAAUGUCCUUUCUAGAUGACCAGAAAGAGGAGCCAACGCUAAUCUUUUUAUUUCGGUGAAGUAAAAACAGCAAAGGAACAAAUAUUCAGGCUCAUAUUUUGGGGCUUCGGCAUUCUUUGGAUUUUGUCUUUUUUUGUGAGUGAAUAGCAAACAAGGAGAAGAAGAAGCUGCAGGACCUGUGAGUGAGAGCUUAAUAGAAGCCUAGUCGGUGCCUGGAGUCCAAAGGACAAUUCACUUGCAAGCUCAGCUCCCAUGGAACUACCUAAAUGAAGAGUGUCACUGAAUGAAGAAUCUUCCAUCCCUGAAAUACUGAAAGGAUGAUGGCAAGCCUUAAUGACAAAGCAACAGAUGUGGCUGCAGUGAGGUCAUGUGGAUGUGUAGCUGUCAUCAUAUCAUACCGGCUGUAUGGGCCACAGAAGAAGUUGUGAGCAGAAGUUUCUUCUCAUGGAAGCAAUGCCAGGGUUUCACUUUUUAAAAUACGGCUCUUGAAAGCUGAAGACACCAAAGACAGAAGAAAAAGUUGGAGGGAAAGCCUGGGGGCAGGAAACCACCUUUACAGCUUCUGGGAUUUGUCUCAGCUCCUGAAAUCAAGAUCCAACGAUUACCUCAGGACUGUUUUCCUCAGAUUCCUGUUCCCAAGCUCUUAGGAGAAAUUCCUGAUUUGUUGAAAGGUAGAUAGACAAAUUGGAUCAACAGCACAAGUUUAGAGUUCGCUAUGGAGACUGUGAAACCUCUGACCAACAGCCCCAGGAGAUUAAAAUGCUUAUGCUCAACUUCUUGAAGUGCUCCACAAGCUCUGCUCUGCCCCAGCACUUGGUUGCAAAGUGGAAGAAGAACAGGAGAAUGCAAAGGGAAAUACAACCCUGCUCCAAGCUUCCUUCUCCCCUCCCUAAAUGCUGGAGGGAUGACUGUUCAAUUAUCAUCCACACCUGUAGGACAUGGUGCUGCCUUAGGUCAUGAAGGGGCUGCGGGUUCGUCUGUGCAUGAGAAAAAUGCUUCCUGGUCAACACUGUCUGAUCGCAGGGUCCUCCUAGAUGGUGCUGUAACCCUUCAGGGUGCGAAGUCAUGGGCUCACCCAUUGCUCCAGGGGCACCCUAGGGCACGCAGAGGAAUGGGAAGUUUAAAAGAGCUGCCAACCGACUAAGUUAGUUCACAGACUGGAGCCAAGUCUGGGACAUUGCUCUCCAGAGAUGGCUUUGGGGGAAAUGGGUGCGAGUCCUUACUCUCAUGCUCAGCACAGGUAUGACACUGCUGAUGGCACAGAAGACCACGAAGGGCAAUGGAGAGGCUGAACCACCCAUCUCAUGGCCUCAGAAACUGGACUAGAUGCAAAACCAGGCCCAGCUGCAUGUUACCAAGCCGUUUUGUUUUAAGGAGCACAUUUGCUAAAGAUCAGUGGCAAAUCUGACUUCUGUGUAACCCAGGAGCAGGAGGGGGGAUGCAAGGGAAGAAAGACACUGAGAGCUGUGGGUCCCGAGUGAAGGAGGAGGCAGAAACACACUUUAUAAAUGGAAUAGGCUUUCUGCCUCCUCCUUCCCCUCCCAUGAUGGAGGCAGCCACAGACGACUUUGAAGUCCUGUCCUUCAGGCUCUUUGCCAUCAUUUGUGCUCAGCACUUCCAACAAAAGCACAGUCUCUUGGUGGCAAGAGGCUUGGCCGAGGAGCAGAAGGCAGGAUUUUUACAUUAAGGGAAGGGCUGUGAACAAUUUUGCCUUUAUCACCAGAAAAGGGACUGUAAAUCCCUCAGAGUUACGGAUUUUGGUCCUGCAACUUGAUCCCCCAA